GAUGAACGCUAGCGGCAGGCUUAAUACAUGCAAGUCGAACGCCUGCAGCAAUGCAGGAGUGGCAGACGGGUGAGUAACACGUGGGAAUCUACCCAGUAGCUCGGAAUAACCGCGGGAAACUGCGGCUAAUACCGGAUAAGCCCCGAGGGGGAAAGGAGCAAUCCACUAUUGGAGGAGCCCGCGUCUGAUUAGCUAGUUGGUGGGGUAAUGGCCUACCAAGGCGAUGAUCAGUAGCUGGUUUGAGAGAACGACCAGCCACACUGGGACUGAGACACGGCCCAGACUCCUACGGGAGGCAGCAGUGGGGAAUAUUGGACAAUGGGGGAAACCCUGAUCCAGCAAUGCCGCGUGGGUGAUGAAGGCCUUCGGGUUGUAAAGCCCUUUUGUCGGGGACGAUGAUGACGGUACCCGACGAAUAAGCCCCGGCUAACUUCGUGCCAGCAGCCGCGGUAA
rnacentral:rRNA from 1 species